UACGUAGGGACCGAGCGUUGUCCGGAAUCAUUGGGCGUAAAGAGCGUGUAGGCGGCCACUUAAGUCCUGCGUGAAAUCCUGCGGCUCAACCGCAGGCGGUCGUGGGAAACUGGGUGGCUAGAGUGCGGGAGAGGAGAGUGGAAUUCCUGGUGUAGCGGUGAAAUGCGCAGAUAUCAGGAAGAACACCAAUGGCGAAGGCAGCUCGCUGGGACGUUACUGACGCUGAGACGCGAAAGCGUGGGGAGCGAACAGG
rnacentral:rRNA from 1 species